GAUGAACGCUGGCGGCGUGCCUAAUACAUGCAAGUCGAGCGAACAGAUGAGGAGCUUGCUCCUCUUACGUUAGCGGCGGACGGGUGAGUAACACGUGGAUAACCUACCUAUAAGACUGUGAUAACUUCGGGAAACCGGAGCUAAUACCGGAUAAUAUCUUGAACCGCAUGGUUCAAUAGUGAAAGACGGUUUUGCUGUCACUUAUAGCUGGAUCCGCGCCGCAUUAGCUAGUUGGUAAGGUAACGGCUUACCACGGCAACGAUGCGUAGCCGACCUGAGAGGGUGAUAGGCCACACUGGAAGUGAGACACGGUCCAGACGCCUACGGGAGGCAGCAGUAGGGAAUCUGCCGCAAUGGGAGAAAGCAUGACGGAGCAACGCCGCGUGAGUGAUGAAGGUCUUCGGAUCGUAAAACUCUGUUAUUAGGGAAGAACAAAUGUGUAAGUAACUAUGCACGUAUUGACGGUACCUAAUCAGAAAGCAACGGCUAACUACGUG
rnacentral:rRNA from 1 species